UACGGGGGGGGCAAGCGUUGCUCGGAAUUACUGGGCGUAAAGGGCUCGUAGGCGGCCAACUAAGUCGGACGUGAAAUCCCCAGGCUCAACCUGGGAACUGCGUCCGAUACUGGAUGGCUUGAAUUCGGGAGAGGGAUGCAGAAUUCCAGGUGUAGCGGUGAAAUGCGUAGAUAUCUGGAGGAAUACCGGUGGCGAAGGCGGCAUCCUGGACCGACAUUGACGCUGAUGAGCGAAAGCUAGGGGAGCAAACGGG
rnacentral:rRNA from 1 species